rnacentral:rRNA from 1 species
AUUGAACGCUGGCGGCAGGCUUAACACAUGCAAGUCGAGCGGGGUGAUGGUGCUUGCACUAUCACUUAGCGGCGGACGGGUGAGUAAUGCUUAGGAAUCUGCCUAUUAGUGGGGGACAACAUCUCGAAAGGGAUGCUAAUACCGCAUACGUCCUACGGGAGAAAGCAGGGGAUCACUUGUGACCUUGCGCUAAUAGAUGAGCCUAAGUCGGAUUAUCUAGUUGGUGGGGUAAAGGCCUAUCAAGGCGACGAUCUGUAGCGGGUCUGAGAGGAUGAUCCGCCACACUGGGACUGAGACACGGCCCAGACUCCUACGGGAGGCAGCAGUGGGGAAUAUUGGACAAUGGGGGGAACCCUGAUCCAGCCAUGCCGCGUGUGUGAAGAAGGCCUUAUGGUUGUAAAGCACUUUAAGCGAGGAGGAGGCUCUUUUGGUUAAUACCCAAGAUGAGUGGACGUUACUCGCAGAAUAAGCACCGGCUAACUCUGUGCCAGCAGCCGCCGUAA